UACGAAGGAGGCUAGCGUUGCUCGGAUUGACUGGGCGUAAAGGGCGCGUAGGCGGUUCGUACAGUCAGACGUGAAAUUCCUGGGCUCAACCUGGGGAGCUGCGUUUGAUACGUGCGGACUUGAGUGCGGAAGAGGGUCGUGGAAUUCCCAGUGUAGAGGUGAAAUUCGUAGAUAUUGGGAAGAACACCGGUGGCGAAGGCGGCGACCUGGUCCGAUACUGACGCUGAGGCGCGAAAGCGUGGGGAGCAAA
rnacentral:rRNA from 1 species